rnacentral:lncRNA from 1 species
GAGGAGGUAAGAAGCAAAUCGGCCGGCACUUGGAAGCACACAGUGUGGACACGGUCCACUGCCUGGAGUUUGUUCAGCAAAGUCCUCCCACUGGCAGCGUGGCCAGGAACUCCCUUCUUCCAGGUGGUGGGGAAGCUUGCCAUCUGUGCAGCCUCCUCUGGAGGAGAGUGAGCUGGGGCUCAGAUCAUAAAUGGAGCUUCCGAGCCAGAAAGGUGGCAAAUGGGAUGAAUUCAUUUGUUGAGGCUGAGGCCACCCAGUUCUUGCAUCCAGGGUCCCUGGCUUGUCCCUUUAGAACACAUGAGGAGGUCAGGUGGAGCCAGCGUGAGCUUGAAGUUGGGAGAUGGGCUGCAUGCGAGUCUAGCACCUGGUACAAUGAGUGUACAUCUCAGACUCCCAGUCAGUAUUUGAGGAAUGAACGAAUGCACGUUGUGAACUCUGAAGGGUUAUGGAAAGGUGCCAUGUGAUACCUUCCACCACAGGAUGACCCUCACCAGAUGCCAGUGCCAUGCUCUUGGACUUCCCAGCUUCUAGAACCACGACCCAAAUAAAC